rnacentral:tRNA from 1 species
AAUUUAUAUAGUUUAACUAAAACUUUACAUUUUCAUUGUAAAAAUAAAAUAUAUUUAAUUUUUAUAAAUA